rnacentral:rRNA from 1 species
AGCUCCAGUAGCGUAUAUUAAAGUUGUUGCAGUUAAAAAGCUCGUAGUUGGAUUUCUGGCAAGACGAGGCUGGCCCGGUGCUUCGGUAUCCGAGUUGUCGGCACUGUCUGCCAUCCUUUCAGAGAUCGUUCGUACCGUUUACUCGGCCGCGGACGCUAUCUGGAACUUUUACUUUGAAAAAAUUAGAGUGUUCAAAGCAGGCGAAACGCUAUGAAUACAUUAGCAUGGAAUAAUAAUCUAGGACUUCGGUUCUAUUUUGUUGGUUUCUAGGACUGGAGUAAUGAUUGAUAGGGAUAGUUGGGGGUGCUAGUAUUCAACGGCCAGAGGUGAAAUUCUUGGAUUCGUUGAAGACUAACUUAUGCGAAAGCAUUCACCAAGGAUGUCUUCUUUA